rnacentral:lncRNA from 1 species
GUCGCAGCGCCAAACAUCGGUCUCUGCCCCCCUCCUGAUUUUCCCAAGGUUUUGUUUUUCAAUGUUUUGUUUGCUAGUGUAAAUUCAAUGUUUAUGUUUUUUCGACAAUGCCUAAGACAGCUGCUGGUAUGUCUCAAUCUGAUGAACUGAAAAUACAGUAAAGCCUAAAAGAGUGAGGCUACCUGAGCUAGCUAGAGGAGCUACAUUACUACAUAGUUGUUGGUCCUAAGACUCUCUCUAGGUCCUAGUGUAAAAUAAGAUACGCAAAACUUUAAUAACACUGGUUGCGGAGUAUAGCUUGAAAUAGGGAAUGAGAUAAAGUAUCUGAUAAAAGAUAGCCUAAGUCCCUGCUAAGGUAGAAGACCGAUUUAUGCUAAUUACAUUCUCUCUUUUUUUAGAGAGAGAGAGGUCGUGCUACUGGUACAAUGCAUCCAUGUGACCUGACCCGUCGGAUGCAGCUACUGUAUAGUAGUACCCAAACCAAAUGAUCAAUAUUCAUACGCUGCUGCGUCAGGCCAUCGCUUUGACCAGCGUACAAUCCUAAAUAUCUCAUGCCCAACUGCACGUCGGCACCCACACACAUCUAGCAGGCUGCAGGCCCCAUUGGCUGGCACCCGGGCCUAUGCUGCUCUGCGUCCAUGAUCAGACAGCAGAUACCAGUGUCGCAGCCUAUUCUCUGGUCACCACUCACCACUGCUGGAUCAAUCUUACAGGCUGCAGCUCCCAAGGGGGCAAUGCACACAGUAUGUAUGUGCCUGUCUGCACGUCAAUGGCAAUGGGAUUCUGGCCGGUGACGCAGAAAACUUCAGAUGCAGCGGGCACAGGACAGCAGGAGGAGGCAGAAGGGAGUUUUUGGUGUCUUGUCGUUUCAAUCUUGCGGCCUUUCAUUCUCCCCGCUCCCCCGUUCAGUGCAGAUCUCAUGCAAAACAUGAGACCAAACUUGUUGAGAGGCAUGGAGAUGCAGCAGGCAUCAGAAACACACAGGACCAUCAACCCUAGUGCACUGCAAACCAUGUGUUGAGCGGGCUGGCAGUCACAGAAGAACAGCGUCCAUGCAGGCCGGCUGUGGCUUCACUGGCUUGUGAUCUCCAGUACGUCCAGGCUGCACACCUUUGCUGGCAAUCAUGCCGGCCGGCUCUACAGCUCUCCGUUCGCUACCACCCAUCUCUGUCUUUUCUCCCCUACUACUCCUGUUCCAAGGGAGCCGCCGCAUCAAAUGCUGCUUGGUUCUCACCCAACCUGUGCAAUACAUUCAUCACUGCUGCCAUAAAGGAACCUGUAGCUCUCUUUUUUUUGUACGUUUCUCAUUAAGAGGAAAGCAGUCGAAGUACAAAUCAUACGUCUCCAGUAAAACCUAGGCUUUUCGCGACAUGGAAUUGUAGUUUAAUAAAUCCUGAAGUCCUUUCGGAUAGAUUUCCUAGAAGAUGUUCACUCAGAGUCGUGUUCUAGCCUAUGAUUACCUAUGCACUUGUCGGCUAGCUUCUAGCCUUUCCACUGUCAAUUGGUGGGGGGAAAUCAAAUUAUCUCACUGUGAAAGUGGUACACUGACGACAGUCUGUUUUCCAUGAUGUUUUGUCUGUCAGCUAGCAGCUUCUACUGAUUCUGCAAGAAUCACAAGAUUCAACAAUGAAAAUGAAGCUCAAGCUGAUGCGCUGAACUUCGGACAGUCUUCAGGUUCACUAAAAAACAAGAAAGUGACUUCAGCUUUCAGCAUACUGCUGUACAUUCUUGAUUCCCAUUAACCGAGAAUAUAGAGGUCGAAGCUAACACAUAAUUUAACACUUCCCAGACCCAGAAAGUACAGCUGACAUUAGAGUUGCUUCGGUAGGCUUUCUGUUAGACUGUUACUGGUUUUGGAUCGCUAGCUUGUUGAGCAAUUUCAGCAUCACCUGUGGCAGACUAAAACGACGCCUUUAGGUAAACACCUACUAUAUAUCUGUACAUGGAUAUGAUAAGAGUGAGGUGAAAGGGCUAAUGGUUAAGGCUCUCGUUUAGCGCCUUUAGGUCCCGGUUCGAUCCCCCUUGGAAGCGAAUCUCGGGUUUGGUUAAAAAAAUCUUUGCUGUGCUCCACCCGCUCUCAAGGUUACGUCCUGCGCACCACCCUCUAGCUGGACCGUUGUAGAGUGAACGAUGACGGCACGCUAGUGAUGGGGAGCCAUAUUUCUGUCUCUUCUUAAUAUAAUAUCAAUAUCGGGAGAACGGUUUUUUCUUCCACGGUCGAGUUUUUUUUUUUUUAUGAUAAGAGCGAGUAUACCUCAUAAUUCUGAUUUCUCCAGGUUGGAAGUUGGCCUCUUCUGAUGAACACUCGGUAUUGUGGCAGUCAUUGGAUUCUCGUCUAUAGAAGGGCACCAUGCAAGCAUGUGCCGCUUAUUUCUUUAAUUUGGUUCCCUGGCUCUUGUGGAGUAAUUCUAGCACUCAGAAGAUGUUUCUCUUGAUGAUAUAUAUAUACACUGUCACCAGCAAAACAGCUGAACUUCUCAUCCUAGAUCAUGUCCAAAGGCAGUCUAGGUUCAGUGCAGAUUUGUAUUCAUGCAAGCAUACAAUGAUAUGAUAAUACUAACAUAGUAUACGCUGCUGCCAGAGACAAUUAAGACUGAACAGUUUUUUUUUUUUGGGAACAGAUAGAUUUGACCACAUUGUUUUUUGUUUUAUAACAG